rnacentral:rRNA from 1 species
UAGGGAAUAUUGGACAAUGGGCGCAAGCCUGAUCCAGCCAUCCCGCGUGAAGGAUUAAGGUCCUAUGGAUUGUAAACUUCUUUUCUCUGGGAAUAAAAAGCGGGGUUCACCCUGCCUUGAAGGUAUCAGAGGAAUAAGCACCGGCUAACUCCGUGCCAGCAGCCGCGGUAAUACGGAGGGUGCAAGCGUUAUCCGGAUUCACUGGGUUUAAAGGGAGCGUAGGUGGCUUUGUAAGUCAGUGGUGAAAUGUCGCAGCUUAACUGCGAAACUGCCAUUGAUACUGCUUAGCUUGAAUCACGUCGAGGUGGAUGGAAUAUUACAUGUAGCGGUGAAAUGCUUAGAUAUGUAAUAGAACACCGAUUGCGAAGGCAGUUCACUAGGCGUGUAUUGACACUGAGGCUCGAAAGCGUGGGGAUCAAACA